rnacentral:rRNA from 1 species
AGAGUUUGAUCCUGGCUCAGGAUGAACGCUGGCGGCGUGCCUAACACAUGCAAGUCGAGCGGAGCAAUCUUGAUGAAGUUUUCGGAUGGAAUCAGGAUUGACUUAGCGGCGGACGGGUGAGUAACACGUGGAUAACCUGCCUUAUACUGGGGGAUAACAGCCAGAAAUGGCUGCUAAUACCGCAUAAGCGCACGGCGCCGCAUGGCGCAGUGUGAAAAACUCCGGUGGUAUAAGAUGGAUCCGCGCCUGAUUAGCUAGUUGGCGGGGCAGCGGCCCACCAAGGCGACGAUCAGUAGCCGGCCUGAGAGGGCGACCGGCCACAUUGGGACUGAGACACGGCCCAAACUCCUACGGGAGGCAGCAGUGGGGAAUAUUGCACAAUGGGGGGAACCCUGAUGCAGCGACGCCGCGUGAGUGAAGAAGUAUUUCGGUAUGUAAAGCCCUGUCAGCAGGGAAGAAAAUGACGGUACCUGACUAAGAAGCCCCGGCUAACUACGUGCCAGCAGCCGCGGUAAUACGUAGGGGGCGAGCGUUAUCCGGAUUUACUGGGUGUAAAGGGAGCGCAGGCGGCGUGGCAAGUCAGAUGUGAAAACCCGGGGCCCAACCCCGGGACUGCAUUUGAAACUGCCAUGCUGGAGUGCCGGAGAGGCAAGUGGAAUUCCUAGUGUAGC